rnacentral:rRNA from 1 species
GAAAUUGCGGCGUGCUUACCAUGCAGUCGAACGAUGAUGGGAGCUUGCUCCUGGAUUAGUGGCGAACGGGUGAGUAACACGUGAGUAACCUGCCCUUAACUCUGGGAUAAGCCUGGGAAACUGGGUCUAAUACCGGAUAUGACUCCUCAUCGCAUGGUGGGGGGUGGAAAGCUUUUUGGGGUUUUGGAUGGACUCGCGGCCUAUCAGCUUGGUGGUGAGGUAAUGGCUUACCAAGGCGACGACGGGUAGCCGGCCUGAGAGGGUGACCGGCCACACUGGGACUGAGACACGGCCCAGACUCCUACGGGAGGCAGCAGUGGGGAAUAUUGCACAAUGGGCGCAAGCCUGAUGCAGCGACGCCGCGUGAGGGAUGACGGCCUUCGGGUUGUAAACCUCUUUCAGUAGGGAAGAAGCGAAAGUGACGGUACCUGCAGAAGAAGCGCCGGCUAACUACGUGCCAGCAGCCGCGGUAAUACGUAGGGCGCAAGCGUUAUCCGGAAUUAUUGGGCGUAAAGAGCUCGUAAGCGGUUUGUCGCGUCUGCCGUGAAAGUCCGGGGCUCAACUCCGGAUCUGCGGUGGGUACGGGCAGACUAGAGUGAUGUAGGGGAGACUGGAAUUCCUGGUGUAGCGGUGAAAUGCGCAGAUAUCAGGAGGAACACCGAUGGCGAAGGCAGGUCUCUGGGCAUUAACUGACGCUGAAGAGCGAAAGCAUGGGGAGCGAACAGGAUUAGAUACCCUGGUAGUCCAUGCCGUAAACGUUGGGCACUAAGUGUGGGGGACAUUCCACGUUUUCCGCGCCGUAGCUAACGCAUUAAGUGCCCCGCCUGGGGAGUACGGGCGCAAGGCUAAAACUCAAAGGAAUUGACGGGGGCCGCACAAGCGGCGGAGCAUGCGGAUUAAUUCGAUGCAACGCGAAGAACUUACCAAGGCUUGACAUGAACGGUAAUACCUGAGACAGUGCCCGCUGCGUCGAUUACAGUGUGCAUGAUGUCGUCAGCUCGUGUCGUGAGAUGUGGGUAGUCCGCACGAGCGCAUCUCGUCUAUGUGGCAGACGUGAUGUGGGAACUCUAGAGACUGGCGGUCACUCGAGAGGUGGGACGACGUCCAAUCA